rnacentral:lncRNA from 1 species
GUGAUUAACUUUAGAUUUAGGUUUUAAUAAAUUAGCUAAUAGUUAAAAUUAAUACCUUUCGAUCUAUAAUUAAAUUAAUUGAUCUGCUUAACUUACUUAUCUUUUGACCCGAUAGCUUAAAUCAUGAUAGAUUAAGUGAUGCUUAGUAGACUAUCUUUCGACUUCAUCUAUCUAAGUUACUUCUUAGGGUUGUCAGCUAUAGGGUUUAAUUUCACUUAACCUAUACCAACUUAUCUGGAGUAAACCCUAAUCCCUUAGCUAAUCACUC